CGCCGCCACCGCCUCAGGGAAGAGGAAGGAGGCCGCGGCUUCGCGUCCCGCCUCUCGCCUGGCUGGCCGUGGGGGGCCUGGACGCAGUGGCCUCCCGAAUCUCCCAGGACCCUAAUAUCGCCCGAGGAUGCUGGGAGGAACGCUGAGCCGACCUCUCCGUUAGGCUGAAGAUUGCACAAACCAUGCUAAUGGCCAGCAUGGAUGGAGGGAGCGUGUGAGAUGUGUGGGGCAGCGUGCUGCAUCUCAGCCAACUCCAGGAGCCAGUUGAUGUGAUGGACUACCUUAAUUGAUUUUUGAAUGUUGAGCCAGCCUUAUGCAUGUGGGAUAAACCCCUGUUGAUCAUGGAAGCAUGCUCAUGGCAAUACCCGGAGUCUCCACUGCAAGACCAGAGUGACGGAGGCAGCAGAGCUCCUCAGCAGGCCAGGAGUCUCCAGAGGCACUGCCGAAUGUCUAAGAAGCAACCUCAUUGUAUUCCCAAGACCUGGGAAUCCAGGUCUCGCAGAUACGAUGAUACAAUCUAUAGCCAGGACAUCUCUUCAUGUGUAGUUUUCAAUGAAUACUAGGAUAAGCAACUAUCCCAGUCUUCCCAGGAUUGAGGGGCUUCUCCAGAUGCUGCACUUCUGGUGCUAAAAAUGAGAAACUGAAAUGAAUUAGUCACCCAAGGAAUGCUGACCCUGUGCUAUAUGAUCACAUUUACUCUUUAAAGCAAUGCUUUGAGAACAAUUGAGCUGCAUAGUCCCUGCAAUCUUAUAAAGGCAUUUGGCCUGGAAGAUGCUCUGCAGCCAUGUGCCAAGAAUAACGGCUAUAGGGACAAUGUUUCAUUAACCCCAAAGCAGCAACCUGAACCUCUUACUGUACAAUAUCUGCUCCGUUCAGAAUUAGCUCGACUUGAGUCACAGGAUGAAGCUUACCAAAAGGAAUUUCCACGUCCAAGGAAGGAACCAAGAUCACUGAGAGGUUAUAGUAUGAAAAGUGAAGAGAAAAAACCUAUUCUAAACAUUUUAUUAAUUGUCAAUAAUUAUUUUAAAAUAUUUAAUAUAGUCUCCUACCUGGUCCACUGGCAUCAAGCUGCCAAAUUUACACGGUCACUUUGGGAAGCCAGCUGGCAGGCAAACAUGGAAAGUGCUGGCUCCUAGCGUAGUGAGAAGACCACAGAUAGAUGGUAAUUUUCUUCUUUGUUUUAUUUUUCUUUUUCUUCUCUCCCUCUUUUUCUUCCCUCUUGCCUUUCCCUCCCAUUGCCCACUUUCUUUUUUUGGCUGCCGAAGAUUUAUUGCCUUUCAGUACUUAUAGAUGAUGUUUUCAUAAGUUCUAAUGAGGUCCCAGCAGUUUUUAACAAUAACAGGACAUUACUGUUCCUAAGAUAUAUUAUGUGUUUUCCCUCAUCUUUCUCCCUUGAAUGAAAUGCUUAGAAGUAGGCUAACCCCCAAUUCCCUUCCCUUUACUAUGAUAAAUGGCUCCAUUACUUAAUAGGGCUAAAUACUCUGCUGUGACUUUUAUACUGCUGAUUUGAAUAAAAUCUUACGAAAAGCUUUUCUCGUGU
rnacentral:lncRNA from 1 species